CGCUUUUUGUAAAUAUAAAAAGUCUUGCCUGCCCAGUGUAAAUGAAAGUAAUAAACGGCCGCAGUAUCCUGACUGUGCUAAGGUAGCAUAGUAAUUUGCCCCUUAAUUAGUGGAUAGAAUGAAUGGUUUGACGAAAGCAUAGCUGUUUCUAAUGUAUUACACAUAAUUUAUCUUUUAGGUUAAAAUUCCUAAAUUUAAUUGAGGGACGAGAAGACCCUAUUGAAUUUAAAAAAAAUGUUUUAAUAAGAUCUAUUAUUAAAAUCCGUUUAUUAAACAAUAAUUUUGGUUGGGGCAACCCAGGAACAAAAAGAGCUUCCUGUUUAGUAAAAAAAUGAUUGUUUUAGAUCCAGUAAGAUAAUAUUGAUAAGAAGAAUUAAUUACCAUAGGGAUAACAGCGUAAUUUUUCUUGAGAGACCUAAUCGAAAGAAAAGCUUGCGACCUCGAUGUUGGAUUAGGGUAUUUAAAGGGUGUAGGGACUCUUAUAAUUGGUCUGUUCGACCAUUAAAACCCU
rnacentral:rRNA from 1 species